GUGGGUAAAAAUAUUGGCAGCACAUAUAACAAAACUGGAAUGAUACAGAAAGACUGGCAUGGCCCCUGUGCUAGGGUGACAUGCAAAUUGGUCAAGUGUUUUCUAUUUUU